GAUGAAGAACGCAGCGAAAUGCGAUACGUAAUGUGAAUUGCAGAAUUCAGUGAAUCAUCGAAUCUUUGAACGCACAUUGCGCCCCCUGGUAUUCCGGGGGGCAUGCCUGUCCGAGCGUCAUUACAACCCUCAAGCUCAGCUUGGUAUUGGGCCCCGCCGCUCCGGCGGGCCCUAAAGUCAGUGGCGGUGCCGUCCGGCUCCGAGCGUAGUAAUUCUUCUCGCUCUGGAGGUCCGGUCGUGUGCUCGCCAGCAACCCCCAAUUUUUUUCAGGUUGACCUCGGAUCAGGUAGGGAUACCCGCUGAACUUAAGCAUAUCAAUAAGCGGAGGA
rnacentral:misc_RNA from 1 species